rnacentral:rRNA from 1 species
UACGUAGGGGCCUAGCGUUGUCCGGAUUUAUUGGGCGUAAAGCGCGCGUAGGCGGCGCGGUAUGUCGUGCGUGAAAUCUCCCGGCUUAACUGGGAGGGGCCGUGCGAAACUGCCGGGCUUGAGGUCGGAAGGGGAAAGUGGAAUUCCGGGUGUAGUGGUGGAAUACGUAGAUAUCCGGAGGAACACCAGCGGCGAAGGCGGGUCUCUGGACAGUUCCUGACGCUGAGGCACGAAGGCCAGGGGAGCAAAACGGG